UGAUAGGCCGGAUCUGGAAGCCAGGUAACUGGUGGAGGUGACCGGUACUAAUAGGCCGAGGGCUUGUCCU
rnacentral:rRNA from 1 species